ensembl:lncRNA
GGGGUUUAAUGGGGGGUCUUGAAUUGGGGGGCUUAUGGGGGGGCAUAAAUGGGGGAGGGUCGUUAUAUAGGGGGGUUAUGGGUGGAUGGGGGCACAAGAUGGCCGCCAUUGGUUGGGUGGAUGGAGAACAAGAUGGCCGCCAUUGUUAAACAGGGUUGGAGGGGGGGAAACAAGAUGGCGGACAUUAAGAAGAGGGCGGGACUUCCGGUCUUGAAGAUAAUUGAUGGCUCAAUGGGGAGAGGGACUUCCGGUCUUGGGGAGGAAGUGGGGGUGCAUGGGAACUUCCGGUGCUGGGUAAGAGGAGGCGGGACUUCCGGUUCUGGAUAGAAGGGCGGGGGGCGGGACUUCCGGUUGGUCCGGGCACCAAUGAAAGAUGAGACUUCCGGUUCCGGGUAAUCCAGGGGGUGGGACUUCCGGUUCGCGGGCCAAUCUACAACGGAAGCUCGGAGGGGGGGGAACACACACAAAGGAGACUUCCGGUUCUAUAUGCUCCUAUGAGGGCUUAGUUCCGGUUGGAUGGAACCGAACCGGGCCUGAUUUUCGGUUUUUCCACUCAAAAACUCGGGACUUCCGGUUCGAGGCACCCAGAAGACCGGAUAUCCGCUUUUGUGCAGCACUUCCGGUCUCCCACAUCCGGCUUUGUGGGCGGGACUUCCGGCUACUCUUCUCCACCAACGGCUGCGCUCAGAGCGCAAGGGGGCGUGGCUAAAUAUAAUGAGAUGCAAACCACGCCCAUGUCGCUCCAUAUAAGGAAAGAGGGCGUGGUCACGUUACCAUAUAUGGUAUCAACAUGGCGGCUGGGAGAUGAAGCCCCGCCCCCUUUCCCCGGCAUCCCCCGCGCGGCCCCGCCCCCCCCCGGAGCGCAGCGCAGCGGUGCCCAUGGAGGAGGAGGAGAAGCCCCCAGGGCAUGAAGAGCCAACGGGGCCGGGGGGUGGGGGGGGUCCGAAGGGAGACCCCCCCCCAGAAGAGGAAGGAAGGCUGAGAAUGGGGGAUCCGGGGGGGGGGCGGCUGUCGGGACCCCCCCAUGAUGGAGAUGUGGACCCCCCCCCUCCACUGAAAGCAAUGGACGGAGUGAGAACGGCCUGGGGGGCUACAGGAGAUGCAGUUGGGAAGCGGUCCCUGCGGCAGCGUUGGUGUUGGGCUCCCUGUAUUAAAGGGGUCCCGGUGGUGGAGGGGCUGCAGGGGGCGCUGCGACAGCUGCUGGGGGCAGCAGGGUGAGUGGGGGACUUAUGGGGUCAUGGGGACGGCUAUGGGGUGUAUAGGGACGGUUAUGGGGUGUAUAGGGAUGGCUAUGGGGUGUAUAGGGACGGCUAUGGGGUGUAUAGGGAUGGCUAUGGGGUGGGGGUGUAUAGGGUGUAUAUAACGCCAUAUAAUUCUAUAUAACCCUAUAUAUUCCUAUAUAACCCUAUAUAAUCCUAUAUAACCCUAUAUAACCAUAUAAAUCCUUAUAUAACUCUAUAUAAUCCUAUAUAUAUCUAUAUAACCCUAUAUAAUCUUAUAUAACCCUAUAUAGCCUUAUGUAAUCCUGUAUGACCCUAUAUAACCCUAUAUAAUCCUAUAUAACCCUAUAUAAUCCUAUAUAACCAUAUAUAUCCCUAUAUAACCCUAUACAACCCUAUAUAGCCCUAUAUAACCCUAUAUAACCAUAUAUAAGCCUAUAUAACCGUAUAUAACCCUAUAUAACCCUAUAUAAUCCUAUAUCUCCCCCUAUCCCCUAUAGCCCUGAUGAAGAGGGACACUGGGGUCCCUCUAUGGGCACAUUGGGGUCACACUAUGGGGCCAGGAGAUCCCAUAACCCUAUAUAACCCUAUAUAGUCCUAUAUAACCCUAUAUAACCCUGUAAAUCCUUAUAUAACUCUAUACAAUCCUAUAUAUCCCUAUAUAGCCCUAUAUAACACUAUGUAAUCCUAUAUAACCCUAUAUAACCCUAUAUAACAUUAUAUAAUCCUAUGUAACCCUAUAUAAUCCUAUAUAACCUUAUGUAAUCCUAUAUGACCCUAUAUAACCCUAUAUAACCUUAUAAAUCCCUAUAUAACCCUAUAUAACCCUAUAUAUCCCUAUAUAUCCCUAUAUAACCUUAUAUAUCCCUAUAUAACCCUAUAUAAUCCUAUAUAACCCUAUAUAACCCUAUAAAUCCCUAUAUAACCCUAUAUAACCCCAUAUAACCCCAUAUAACCCUAUACAACCCUAUAUAACCCUAUACAACCCUAUAUAACCC